UACGAAGGGUGCAAGCGUUAAUCGGAAUUACUGGGCGUAAAGCGCGCGUAGGUGGUUCAGUAAGUUGGAUGUGAAAUCCCCGGGCUCAACCUGGGAACUGCAUCCAAAACUGCUGAGCUAGAGUACGGCAGAGGGUGGUGGAAUUUCCUGUGUAGCGGUGAAAUGCGUAGAUAUAGGAAGGAACACCAGUGGCGAAGGCGACCACCUGGACUGAUACUGACACUGAGGUGCGAAAGCGUGGGGAGCAAACAGG
rnacentral:rRNA from 1 species